rnacentral:rRNA from 1 species
UACGGAGGGUGCAAGCGUUAUCCGGAUUCACUGGGUUUAAAGGGUGCGUAGGCGGGCAGGUAAGUCAGUGGUGAAAUCUCCGAGCUUAACUCGGAAACUGCCGUUGAUACUAUUUGUCUUGAAUGUUGUGGAGGUAAGCGGAAUAUGUCAUGUAGCGGUGAAAUGCUUAGAUAUGACAUAGAACACCAAUUGCGAAGGCAGCUUACUACACAAUUAUUGACGCUGAGGCACGAAAGCGUGGGGAGCGAACAGG